rnacentral:piRNA from 1 species
UCGGAUACCUGAGAGGUUUAAAUGAGGUC